AUGUACAUGCCUACAACAUAGCAUUAAUGCACUAGAACCCAUUAGAAAUACGUAAUUAAGCGCACUCAGGCUAGAGUAGUACUAGAAUGGGUGACCACCUAGGAAGUCCUAGUGUUUUACAUC
rnacentral:rRNA from 1 species